rnacentral:rRNA from 1 species
GGGUUGUGAGGUUAAGCGACUAAGCGUACACGGUGGAUGCCCUGGCAGUCAGAGGCGAUGAAGGACGUGCUAAUCUGCGAUAAGCGUCGGUAAGGUGAUAUGAACCGUUAUAACCGGCGAUUUCCGAAUGGGGAAACCCAGUGUGUUUCGACACACUAUCAUUAACUGAAUCCAUAGGUUAAUGAGGCGAACCGGGGGAACUGAAACAUCUAAGUACCCCGAGGAAAAGAAAUCAACCGAGAUUCCCCCAGUAGCGGCGAGCGAACGGGGAGCAGCCCAGAGCCUGAAUCAGUGUGUGUGUUAGUGGAAGCGUCUGGAAAGGCGCGCGAUACAGGGUGACAGCCCCGUACACAAAAAUGCACAUACUGUGAGCUCGAUGAGUAGGGCGGGACACGUGGUAUCCUGUCUGAAUAUGGGGGGACCAUCCUCCAAGGCUAAAUACUCCUGACUGACCGAUAGUGAACCAGUACCGUGAGGGAAAGGCGAAAAGAACCCCGGCGAGGGGAGUGAAAAAGAACCUGAAACCGUGUACGUACAAGCAGUGGGAGCACGCUUAGGCGUGUGACUGCGUACCUUUUGUAUAAUGGGUCAGCGACUUAUAUUCUGUAGCAAGGUUAACCGAAUAGGGGAGCCGAAGGGAAACCGAGUCUUAACUGGGCGUUAAGUUGCAGGGUAUAGACCCGAAACCCGGUGAUCUAGCCAUGGGCAGGUUGAAGGUUGGGUAACACUAACUGGAGGACCGAACCGACUAAUGUUGAAAAAUUAGCGGAUGACUUGUGGCUGGGGGUGAAAGGCCAAUCAAACCGGGAGAUAGCUGGUUCUCCCCGAAAGCUAUUUAGGUAGCGCCUCGUGAAUUCAUCUCCGGGGGUAGAGCACUGUUUCGGCAAGGGGGUCAUCCCGACUUACCAACCCGAUGCAAACUGCGAAUACCGGAGAAUGUUAUCACGGGAGACACACGGCGGGUGCUAACGUCCGUCGUGAAGAGGGAAACAACCCAGACCGCCAGCUAAGGUCCCAAAGUCAUGGUUAAGUGGGAAACGAUGUGGGAAGGCCCAGACAGCCAGGAUGUUGGCUUAGAAGCAGCCAUCAUUUAAAGAAAGCGUAAUAGCUCACUGGUCGAGUCGGCCUGCGCGGAAGAUGUAACGGGGCUAAACCAUGCACCGAAGCUGCGGCAGCGACACUGUGUGUUGUUGGGUAGGGGAGCGUUCUGUAAGCCUGCGAAGGUGUGCUGUGAGGCAUGCUGGAGGUAUCAGAAGUGCGAAUGCUGACAUAAGUAACGAUAAAGCGGGUGAAAAGCCCGCUCGCCGGAAGACCAAGGGUUCCUGUCCAACGUUAAUCGGGGCAGGGUGAGUCGACCCCUAAGGCGAGGCCGAAAGGCGUAGUCGAUGGGAAACAGGUUAAUAUUCCUGUACUUGGUGUUACUGCGAAGGGGGGACGGAGAAGGCUAUGUUGGCCGGGCGACGGUUGUCCCGGUUUAAGCGUGUAGGCUGGUUUUCCAGGCAAAUCCGGAAAAUCAAGGCUGAGGCGUGAUGACGAGGCACUACGGUGCUGAAGCAACAAAUGCCCUGCUUCCAGGAAAAGCCUCUAAGCAUCAGGUAACAUCAAAUCGUACCCCAAACCGACACAGGUGGUCAGGUAGAGAAUACCAAGGCGCUUGAGAGAACUCGGGUGAAGGAACUAGGCAAAAUGGUGCCGUAACUUCGGGAGAAGGCACGCUGAUAUGUAGGUGAAGUCCCUCGCGGAUGGAGCUGAAAUCAGUCGAAGAUACCAGCUGGCUGCAACUGUUUAUUAAAAACACAGCACUGUGCAAACACGAAAGUGGACGUAUACGGUGUGACGCCUGCCCGGUGCCGGAAGGUUAAUUGAUGGGGUCAGCGCAAGCGAAGCUCUUGAUCGAAGCCCCGGUAAACGGCGGCCGUAACUAUAACGGUCCUAAGGUAGCGAAAUUCCUUGUCGGGUAAGUUCCGACCUGCACGAAUGGCGUAAUGAUGGCCAGGCUGUCUCCACCCGAGACUCAGUGAAAUUGAACUCGCUGUGAAGAUGCAGUGUACCCGCGGCAAGACGGAAAGACCCCGUGAACCUUUACUAUAGCUUGACACUGAACAUUGAGCCUUGAUGUGUAGGAUAGGUGGGAGGCUUUGAAGUGUGGACGCCAGUCUGCAUGGAGCCG